UUAAUUGCUGCUUCAAUUUCUGUGCUUGAUAUUGGUCUGGUCAGCAAUUCUAUUUUUUUCUGAUUGAGCCUAGGUAUGUUCUGUGUAAGCAUUUGGAACUUGAAACUUUUCUCUAACUUUAAGACUGUUUCCAAAAGUUAAUCAGAAAUAAACAAAUGAAGGAAUGAAUGAUCAGAAAAAUGAAAAGCCUUAGGCAAAUUUUAUUUCUCCAAGAAGAAAGAGUCAUAUAAAUCAGUGCUUAAAAUUAAAAUUAUAAACAGCUAACAUUUUGGCAGUCUGAGGAUGUAAAACUGGCUUUCAUUUGCAAGACCUACUUAAAAGUCUUUCACAUUGUAUAUUUUUUUUAAAAAAAAAUUGGCACAUAUUUCCAUGAUGCUUUCUAAAGAAUGUCUUCAUUUAGAUUUGACUCAUCAGUGAAUCUAGAGAAGAAGCUCUUCCACAGGAGAAUAUCCAGCAGCAUCUGGAAAGGAAAGACAGAGUAUUCUUUACCUAACAGAUUUCAUUGGAACUAAGUGAAAUCUCAGUAGGAAGAAGGACCUCGACCAAAGAGUGAGCACUGGAGGUUUUGGAGGUUUGCAGGAAGAAAAGCUGUGAAAUAUUAAAAAAAAAUACCGUGGGAGCAUCACCAGACUAGAGAACAUGUUAGAAUUUGGGGGCAACACUGAAUACCUUCAUGAAGUUACUGGUCAUGAGUCAAAGUGAGACCAAAGCUUAGAUACCCUAGCAGAAAUCUUGUCUGGAUGAGAUGCUGGCGGUUGAUCAUUAGAUUCAUCACCUAGCCCAGGGCUGUUGGUUGAGGCCUGAGACCCAUGGAGGAAGGGACAAAGAAUCAUAUGUAAAAAAGCAAAAGAAAACACUGCACCACUAAAAGCUUUGAAAUGUUAACACUACUUUUAAAGCAUGUAAACAAAAGAUGAGAAGAUGACCGUCUCUCCCCAUCCCACUGCUCGUCAUGGAGCACCUCAAAGAAUCUCCUGCUUUGGCACUGGUGGAAUUUUCAGCCUUACCAGGUGAAAGUGGUGGUGACCUGAGGAGGAUUAUGGAACCUGUGAGUGUGCACAAGCAGGAGGACACUGCUGGACCCACGAAGAGGAAAA